rnacentral:tRNA from 1 species
UCCCGCGUAGCUCAAUCGGCAGAGCGUCCGGCUGUUAACCGGCAGGCUGUAGGUUCGAGUCCUACCGCGGGAG